UCUCCGGAGCCCUCUCUCCCAUCCCGNGCNUAUUUGUCCUUGGUUGCUUCGGCGGCCCAUCGCCUCCGGGUUCUCUCCGGNAGGNGACCCUGUGGGAGAUCACUAUAAAAUCUGNGUCAAAACAGGGUUGUCUGAACAAAACAAGUGAAUAUUGAAAAACUUUCAACAACGGAUCUCUUGGUUCUGGCAUCGAUGAAGAACGCANCNAAAUGCGAUAAAUAAUGUGAAUUGCAGAAUUCAGUGAAUCAUCGAAUCUUUGAACGCACAUUGCACCCCCUGGUAUUCCGGGGGGUAUGCCUGUUCGAGCGUCAUUAUCAACCCUCAAGCACAGCUUGCUGUUGGGUCCUCGUCCCCUGCGUCGUCAGGCGGACGUGCCCGGAAUGCCNUGACAGCUCCGCCCCGUCUCCAGCGCAGUAAGAUUUGACAUCACCGSUGAGAUCGGGCGCGGAACGCUGGACANCCCCCCCAAAUUGUCUUANGAUUGACCUCGGAUCAGGUAGGGAUACCCGCUGAACUUAAGCAUAUCAAUAAGCGGAGGAA
rnacentral:rRNA from 1 species